rnacentral:rRNA from 1 species
AUGCAGGUGGUUUGUUAAGUCAGAUGUGAAAGCCCGGGGCGUCAACCUCGGAAAUUGCAUUUUAGAAACUGGCAGACUAGAGUACUGUAGAGGGGGGUAGGAAUUUCAGGUGUAGCGGUGAAAUGCGUAGAGAUCUGAAGGAAUACCGGUGGCGAAGGCGGCCCCCUGGACAGAUACUGACACUCAGAUGCGAAAGCGUGGGGAGCAAACAGGAUUAGGAUACCCGUGGUAG